rnacentral:rRNA from 1 species
GAACUGUCCUAACGUUGUUCGGAAUCACUGGGCUUAAAGGGCUCGUAGGCGGUCCGACAAGUCAGGGGUGAAAUCCUGCAGCUUAACUGCAGAAGUGCCUUUGAUACUGUCGGUCUGGAGGGAGAUAGGGGUGUGCGGAACUCACAGUGGAGCGGUGAAAUGCGUUGAUAUUGUGAGGAACGCCGGAGGCGAAAGCGGCGCACUGGAUCUCUUCUGACGCUGAGGCGCGAAAGCUAGGGGAGCAAACGGGAUUAGAUACCCCGGUAGUCCUAGCCCUAAACGAUGAGUACUAGAUUGUAGACUUACAUGGGUUUACAGUCGAAGCAAAAGUGUUAAGUACUCCGCCUGGGGAGUAUGGUCGCAAGGCUG